rnacentral:misc_RNA from 1 species
GUGAAUCAUCAAAUUUUUGAACGCAAAUUGCACUCUCUUCGGAGAGUAUGCCUGUUUGAGGGUCAGUAUUAAUAAAAAUCGGUGUGUUGCUUCUUUGUGACGCUCCGGAGUUUGGGUCAUCUUAAUAUCCUUUAGGUUUUAAGAGGCUUAAAAUUGACUUUUUUUGCGCAUUUUAGAUGUACAUAAAUUCUUUUUUUUUUUAUUCUUCUUUAUUGCUCAAAUUCCAUUUGAAUGCAA